GGGACCCGCACAAGCAGCGGAGCGUGUGGUUUAAUUCGUUGCUACACGAAGAACCUUACCUGGGUUUGACAUAUAGGUUGUAGGGAACUGAAAGGGACCGACCCUUCGGGGAGCCUAUACAGGUGUUGCAUGGCUGUCGUCAGCUCGUGUCGUGAGAUGUUCGGUUAAGUCCGCUAACGAGCGCAACCCUCGUCGUAUGUUAUAUGUGUCAUACGAGACUGCCGGUAAAAAGCCGGAGGAAGGUGAGGACGAUGUCAAGUCAGCAUGACCUUUAUAUCCAGGGCUACACACACGCUACAAUGGUCUGUACAAUGGGUAGCCAAGCCGCGAGGCGGAGCCAAUCCUGAAAGCAGGCCUCAGUUCAGAUUGCAGUCUGCAACUCGACCCCAUGAAGUCGGAGUCGCUAGUAAUCGCAGAUCAGCAACGCUGCGGUGAAUACGUUCCCGGGCCUUGU
rnacentral:rRNA from 1 species